AACGAACGCUGGCGGCAGGCUUAACACAUGCAAGUCGAGCGCCCCGCAAGGGGAGCGGCAGACGGGUGAGUAACGCGUGGGAAUCUACCCAGAUCUUCGGAACAACUGCGGGAAACUUCAGCUAAUACCGGAUACGCCCUACGGGGGAAAGCUUUAUCGGUUCUGGAUGAGCCCGCGUUGGAUUAGCUAGUUGGUGAGGUAACGGCUCACCAAGGCGACAAUCCAUAGCUGGUCUGGGAGGAUGAUCAGCCACACUGGGACUGAGACACGGCCCAGACUCCUACGGGGGGCAGCAGUGGGGAAUAUUGGACAAUGGGCGAAAGCCUGAUCCAGCCAUGCCGCGUGAGUGAUGAAGGCCUUAGGGUUGUAAAGCUCUUUCAGUAGGGAAGAUAAUGACGGUACCUACAGAAGAAGCCCCGGCUAACUUCGUGCCAGCAGCCGCGGUAACAC
rnacentral:rRNA from 1 species